rnacentral:lncRNA from 1 species
CAAGGCAUUCACGAAAGAGGCGCAGCAAGAGCCGCCGCCAUGCCCGGUCUAAGAGCUCGUCCUCGGCCACGACUGUGCGCUCGAAGCGCGGCCAUAAGCGUCGCCACGCCCAUAGUGGCGCCUCCUCGAGGCACGGAGGAAGGCGCGUUAGGUCCCGAGCAGCCGGUCGUCGACUAGACACGAGAG